UGUCAGACUGGGUGGGGAGAUGGAUCCUGGGGGAUGAGCUCCGGCCUGGAGCAGGUCCAUGUCUCAGCUAUGCUCCCCACCAACGUGCCCCUAUCCCACCUGGGCCCCUCAGCGCUACUGCUGCUGCAGCUUCUGCUGCCCCCCACAUCUGCCUUCUUCCCCAACAUCUGGAGCCUCCUGGCUGCCCCCAGCUCCAUCACCCACCAAGACCUGACUGAGGAGGCGGCUCUCAACAUCACUCUGCAGCUCUUCCUGGAGCAGCCGCCCUCAAGUCGCCCCCCUCUUCGUCUUAAGGACUUCCUGGGCCGCACCCUCCUCGCCGAUGACCUCUUUGCGGCCUACUUUGGACCUGGGUCCUCUUCCCGGCGGUUCCGAGCAGCCUUAGGCGAGGUGUCUCGUGCCAAUGCAGCCCAGGACUUCCUGCCAACUUCCAAGAACGACCCUGACCAGCACUUUGAUGCUGAGAGGCUGGGCCAGGGACGAACACGCCUGGUGGGGGCUCUUCGGGAGGCUGUGGUGGCAGCCAGAGCCUUUGACAACACCCUGGCCCGCCAGCGCCUGGGGGCUGCACUCCAUGCCUUGCAGGACCAGGAUUUCUACAGUCACAGCAACUGGGUGGAAAUGGGGAAGAAGCAGCCACACCCUCACCUCCUCUGGCCACGGCAAGAGCUCGGGAACCUGGCACAAGUGGGAGAUCACACCUGCUCCGACUGUGACAAGUUGAGCUGCCCUGGGAAUUUGCUGGGCUACACACUCCUCACCUCGGGCUACUUUGGAACUCUUCCCUCCAAGCCUCCAGGAAAAUGUAGCCAUGGGGGCCAUUUUGACCAGAGCAGCUCCCAGCCACCACGAGGAGGCAUCAACAAGGAUAGCACGUCCCCAGGCUUCUCCCCCCACCACAUGCUGCACCUCCAGGCUGCAAAACUGGCCCUUCUGGCCUCCAUUCAGGCCUUCAGCCUCCUGCGAAGCCGCCUGGGAGACAGGGGUUUCUCCAGGCUGCUGGACAUCACCCCAGCCUCCAGCCUAAGCUUCGUCCUGGACACCACAGGCAGUAUGGGUGAGGAGAUCAACGCUGCCAAAAUCCAGGCUCGCCGCAUUGUGGAGCAGCGACGGGGCAGCCCCAUGGAGCCGGCCCACUAUGUCCUGGUGCCUUUUCAUGACCCAGGGUUUGGCCCUGUCUUUACAACCAGUGACCCCGACAGCUUCUGGCAACAACUCAAUGAGAUCCAUGCCUUGGGGGGUGGAGAUGAGCCUGAGAUGUGCCUGUCAGCCCUGGAGCUAGCCCUGCUGCACACACCUCCACUCUCAGACAUCUUCGUCUUCACUGACGCCUCCCCCAAGGAUGCCUUUCUCACCAACCGGGUGGAAUCCCUGACUCGGGAGCAGCGCUGCAGAGUAACAUUCCUGGUGACUGAAGACCCAUCAAGGGGUCAGGGCCGAGCUCGACGUGAGGUUUUAUCCCCUCUGCGUUUCGAGCCAUAUGAAGUGGUGGCCCUGGCCUCUGGAGGAGAUGUGAUCUUCACCAAAGAUCAGCACAUUCAGGAUGUGGCAGCUAUUGUUGGGGACAGCAUGGCUGACCUGGUGACCCUUCCUCUGGAACCUCCUGUUGUGGUGCCUGGGAGGCCACUUGUGUUCAGUGUGGAUGGACUGCUCCAGAGGGUCACAGUCCGGAUCCACGGAGAGGUCAGCAGCUUCUGGAUCAGAAACCCUGAAGGGGUCUCCCAGGGCCAGGAGGAAGGCCAGGGGCCUCUAGGUCACACUCGUCACUUUGGGCAGUUCUGGAUGGUGACAAUGAAUGACCCCCCCCAGACAGGGACCUGGGAGAUCCAGGUCACAGCCAAGGGCAACCCCAGGGUAAGAGUGCAAGCCCAGACCUCCCUGGACUUCCUCUUCUACUUUGGGGUCCCCAUGGAGGAUGGCCCCCACCCUGGCCUCUACCCCCUGACUCAUCCAGUUGCAGGUCUCCAGACCCAGCUGCUGGUAGAAGUGACAGGGCUGGGCUCCAGAGGCAACCCUGGUGAUCCUCUGCCGCAUUUCUCCCACGUCGUUUUUCGAGGGGUCCCUGAGGGUCCCGAGCUGGGCCGGGUGCCUUUGGUGCCAAAGGGACCCCGGGAGCGAGGCCUCCUGGCUGCCUCGCUACCGCCCAUGCUUCUGUCUGCCGCUGGACCCUUCUCUCUGGAGCUGAUCGGCCAGGACGGAGGAGGACGGGACCUGCACCGGGCGGCCCCCCAGUCCUGCAUGGUGGUCCCCGUCCUUCUGGAGCUCAGUGGCCCCCCGGGUAUCCUGGCCCCGGGCAGCAAGGUCCCGCUCAGCCUCCGCAUCGCCAGCUUCUCUGGCCCUCAGGAUCUCGAUAUUAGGACAUCUGUCAACUCCAGCUUCGCUCUCACUUCCAACCUCUCCAGGGUUCGCCUGGAACAGAAUGAAUCCGCCUGGGGGCGUCUGUGGCUGGAGGUCCCAGACUCAGUCGCCCCAGACUCCGUGGUAACGGUGACUGUGACUGCAACGGGUCGAGAAGCCAGCCCAGUGGCCCCGACCUAUGCCUUCCUCCGGCUCCUGGUGCUGGCCCCGGCCCCACAGGACCAGCGCGCUGCCCCUGCCCACUCAUCUGGCCCCUUCCUCACCACUGCCAGCCCUGCUUUGCGUCCCUCCCCUUUGGUGACUUGGGGCAGGGCUGGAGGAGGGCUGGCAGGCAACCUCUGGUGGGGCACAGUUGGAGGGGUGCUGCUCCUCCUAGGCCUGGCCUCCUGGUGACAACAGCCCCUAGGAGGAGGGAUCUCCAGCGCUAUUUUCAAUCUUACUCCAUUGGUGAGCAGAGGGAUUUCAAAGAAAGAUCAUUUAUGCACAUCAUACAGGAGAGUGAGGAUGUAAGAUGCCAAGAAGAUGAAAGUUUUCAGGAGCAGAGAAGAAAUUUUACACCAAGAUGUUUGGACUUCAGUUGACCCACGCCCUGGAGCCAUUUAGCUGUUGAAUCAAGAGGCAGAAUAAGGAAGCUGGGGGUUCUGACUCAGUCUCUUCUGUCACUAACUGAGUGGAAUGAGAGGAGGCUUUAGACGCUGGGGAGGCUUCUGCCCCUUGAGGCUGCCCGGCCGAGCCAUCUCCCCUUUUGGCUGAAUGACUUCUUUCUGCCAUCCUGAUAACCCCUGGAGAGAAACAGUUUGGGCAUCUGUGCUCUGCCCAACCCCCUCCCCUCCAGUUUACCUGUUGCUGCCACAAGUUCUGCUUCCUUGGCCUUCCCUGCCAGUCCUGGCUGGCGCAGGAACUAGCCUGUUCAAGGGACAUGGGGAGACCAGGGGAGGAUAUUCACUCUUCUCUGUUAAACCAGUGCUGACCCCAAGCCCCCUCUCUACCACAACUUCCCAAAAGUCUAAACCAAAAACAAUAAACUCACCUUCCCCUGAA